GGGAGAGACUAACCCAGGAUUCCCUUAGUACUGCGAGUGAAGCGGGAAAAGCUCAAAUUUGGAAUCUGGGUAGGCAACACUAGCUCUUACCCCGAAUUGUAAUUUAUAGAGGCGCGAUCCGUCAGGCGGCAUGCCUUGGUCCAAGUCAGGUGGAAUCCUGUGCCAUAGAGGGUGAUAGCCCCGUGGGACCUUGCGCUGACCGUCCACUGUGACGUGCCUUCAACGAGUCGGAAUGUUUGGGAUUGCAUUCCAAAAUGGGUGGUAAGCUCCAUCUAAAGCUAAAUACUGGCGAGAGACCGAUAGCGAACAAGUACCGUGAGGGAAAGAUGAAAAGCACUCUGAAGAGAGAGUGAAAUAGUACGUGAAAUUGCUGAAAGGGAAACGCUUAGGACCCGACAGUGCAGCGUGGGGGUGGCUGUUCACCAGGUUCUUUGGGACCUGGGGAUUCUCUAUGCCCUCACAGCUCAGGCCAGCAUCAGUUUCUUUUUGGGGUAUCAGAAAGGCACUUGGGAAUGUAGGUCGAUCUUCGGAUUUACUGUUAUAGCCCUUGGGUUGGAUAGAUGGCUCUGGAGACUGAGGACUGCGGUGCGCUUUCGUAUUGGGCGGCCAUCUAUCUGGGCAAAUCGGCGGUAAGUGUCAGUCUGACUGGGCUUGCUGACCGAAAUGUCCAUGGGUGGUGUCCUUUGCCGCGCGCCAAGGAUGCUGGUGGUAACGGUUCUAAUCGACCCGUCUUGAAACACGGACCAAGGAGUCAACCAUGCAUGCGAGUGUCUGGGUGAGUAAAACCCAAGCGCGUAAUGAAAGUGAUCUAGUGGGGUUAACCUGGUUUCUCGGAAUCAGGCGCCGCCUCAGCCGGCUUUGUGGGGUCCGCCUCCAUUGUCGAGCAAGAGCAUGUAUGUUUGGACCCGAAAGAUGGUGAACUAUGCCUGAAUAGGGUGAAGCCAGAGGAAACUCUGGUGGAGGCUCGUAGCGGUUCUGACGUGCAAAUCGAUCGUCAAAUUUGGGGCAUAGGGGGCGAAAGACUAUCGACCUCUGAGCC
rnacentral:rRNA from 1 species